rnacentral:rRNA from 1 species
CCAGACUCCUACGGGAGGCAGCAGUGAGGAAUAUUGGUCAAUGGGCGGAAGCCUGAACCAGCCAAGUCGCGUGAGGGAAUAAGGCCCUACGGGUCGUAAACCUCUUUUGCCGGGGAGCAAGGGCGGGGACGUGUCCCGGCCCGGAGAGUACCUGAAGAAAAAGCAUCGGCUAACUCCGUGCCAGCAGCCGCGGUAAUACGGAGGAUGCGAGCGUUAUCCGGAUUUAUUGGGUUUAAAGGGUGCGUAGGCGGUUCGAUAAGUUAGAGGUGAAAUCCCGGGGCUCAACUCCGGCACUGCCUCUGAUACUGUCGGGCUAGAGUUUAGUUGCGGUAGGCGGAAUGUAUGGUGUAGCGGUGAAAUGCAUAGAGAUCAUACAGAACACCGAUUGCGAAGGCAGCUUACCAAACUACGACUGACGUUGAGGCACGAAAGCGUGGGGAGCAAACAGGAUUAGAUACCCUAGUA